CAGGGGGAUAGGUCUGGGCGGCUAGGCCUCGCCUAUAUCGGCAAAUGGUCUUUAUGGCCGAACCGAAUGUCCUUGAGCGGUAUGGUGCAUACACUAAUGCCAAAUUUCCGACUGGGAAGUCCUGCCUCACUUGGUCAAUAAUUUAGCGAACCGGGUCAGGUCCGGAAGGAAGCAGCCCUAAGCUAAAUUUAUUGACGCUUGUGAGAAGCAGGAUGGAGAAGGAAAUUUGGGUUAAGUUAGUGUGUGCAUCAUAUCAAUCUUGGACGUUCCCCCUG
rnacentral:SRP_RNA from 1 species